rnacentral:rRNA from 1 species
GAUGAACGCUAGCGGGAGGCUUAACACAUGCAAGUCGAGGGGCAGCACGAGGUAGCAAUACUUUGGUGGCGACCGGCGCACGGGUGAGUAACGCGUAUGUAACCUACCCUGUACAGGGGGAUAGCCCGGAGAAAUUCGGAUUAAUACCCCAUAAAGAUAUGGAGAGGCAUCUUUUCAUAUUUAAAGUUUUGACGGUACGGGAUGGGCAUGCGUAACAUUAGCUAGUUGGUAAGGUAACGGCUUACCAAGGCGACGAUGUUUAGGGGUCCUGAGAGGGUGAUCCCCCACACUGGUACUGAGACACGGACCAGACUCCUACGGGAGGCAGCAGUGAGGAAUAUUGGUCAAUGGGCGUAAGCCUGAACCAGCCAUCCCGCGUGAAGGAAGAAGGCGCUAUGCGUUGUAAACUUCUUUUCCAGGGGAAGAAAACCCCCGACGUGUCGGGGCUUGCCGGUACCCUGGGAAUAAGCAUCGGCUAACUACGUGCCAGCAGCCGCGGUAACAC